rnacentral:rRNA from 1 species
AUUAGUUUGGGAGCCUUACAUUGGAUGCCUAGGCAACCAAAGAUGAAGAAGAGUGUAAUAAAUGACUAAAUGCUUCGAUGAUUUGAAAAUAAACAUAGAUCUAUAGAUUCCCAAAUAGGUCAACCUUCUAAACUAUAGCUGAAUCCAUGGAUAGGCAAGAGACAACUUAGCAAACUAAAACAUCUUAAUGGGAAGAGGAAAAGAAAGCAAAAGUUAUCCCCAUAGUAGCAACGGACAAAAUGAGAGUAGCCUAAACCAUAAAAACGGAGUUAUGGGAAAGAAACACAAGCAUCAUGCUUUUAGGCGAAGUAGUAGAGUACUACACACUAAAUGGCAAGAAUCCAAUAGCCAACAGCAUCACUAGCUUAUGCUUUGACCCGAGUAGCAUGGGGCACGUGGAAUCCCGUAUGAAUCAACAAGGAUCACCUUGCAAGGCUAAAUACUCCUGGGUGACCAAUAGCAAAGUAGUACCAUGAGAAAAGAAUAAAAAUAACCUCCAUUGGGAAGCAAAAUAGAAUAUAAAACCAGAAGCUCCCAAGUAGUGGGAAGAGCCCAAGACAAUUGUCACUAGGGGUGUCAAUGGUAUUCAAAAAUCUGAUUUCGAAUUCGAGAUUCGACAAGAUUCAACAUAAUCGAAUCAAAUUCGACUAAGUCAAAUAUCUAAUUGGUUGAAUUUGGAUAUCCUAUUCAUACCGAAUAGAUAAUCGGAUUUGAAUUCAAAUGUGACAUGAUUCAUAUUGAUAAAUAUUUUAAUUUGAUCGAUUAUUUAAUUCUUAUAUAUAAUAUAUAAAAUACUUAAAUAUUUUAUAUAAUUUAUAUAUAAUAAUUAAAUUAUAUAAAUAAUUUAUAUACUUUAUAUAAAAAAUAUUUAUUUUAUAUAUUUAUUAAUUACCUAAAAUAAUUAACUGAUCAACUUCGAAUCAAAUUGAAUUCAAAUUCGAACAUUAAUUUUCAAUAUCCAUCUAAUAUUGAAUCGGAUUCGGAUAUCGAAUCUUCUAAUCGAGUUAUUUAUUAAUUACCUAAUUCUCACUAUUAUGGACCUGAACCUGGGUUAUUUAGUUGGGUAAAACUAAGUGGAGGUCCAAAUUGAUUGAUGUUGAAGAAUUAGCAGAUGAGUUGUGGUUAGGGGUGAAAUGCCACUCGAACCCAGAGUUAGUUGGUUUCAACGAAAUGCGUUAAGGUCCAAAAAUCCAUUGGACAUAUAGGGGUAAAGCACUAUUUCGAUGCAGGUUGCUAGAGUGACACCAAAUUGAGGCAAACUCUAAAUACUAGAUAUAACCCCAAAAUAACAAGGGUCAAGGUCAUCCAGUGAGACAAUGGGGGAUAAGCUUCAUUAUUGAGAGGGAAACAAUCAGCUUUGCCUAGAAGGAUGUAUGGGUGCAAAGAUAGCUAGGAGAUUUUCUUAAAAGUAGCCACCAUUGAAAGAGUGUAAUAUCUCAUCGAUUGAGUUCUCUUGCGCCAAAGAUGAACAAGGCUAAAGGAUCUUCCAAAUCUAUGGGAUGUGUGAAUAUUCUUGUACUACCCCUUGUUGGUCCUGAGGGAUGAAAGAAACUAGGUUAGUCAAAAUAUGGUUAUCUAUUCAAGGAUCAAGGUGACCUUGCUUUUUCAAGGUAAGAAAGGGUGGAGAAAAUUUCUCAAGCCAAUGUUCAAGUACCAUGCACUAUGGCACUAAAGUAACCCAUGCCAUACUCCCAGGAAAAGCUCGAACGACCAAAACAAAAGGGUACCUGUAACCAAAUCCAACACAGGUGGGUAGGUAGGAAAUACCCAGGGGUGUGAGACAACUCUCUCUAAAGAACUUGACAAAAUAGCCCAACAACAUUGCUAGAAAGGGUGCCUCCUCACAAAGGAGGUCGUAGUGACCAAUCUCUAGUGAUUGUUUACUAAAAACAUAGGCCUCUAUAAAGUCGCAAGACCAUGUGUAGGGGUUAAUGCCUCCCAGUGCUAGAAGGUCAAAGAAGUUGGUGGCCUGAUGAUAGGAGAGCCAGUGAUCGAAGCCCUAGUGAACAAUAGUUGUAACUAUAAUAGUCCUAAAGUAGCAAAAUUCCUUACCAAGAAAGUUUGUAUGAAAGGUGUAAUGAUCUGGGCAUCUUCUCGAAAGAGAGGCUCAAUGAAAUAGACAUGUUUGUGAAGAUGUAAACUACUUAGAACUGGAUUAAUGAUCUUGGCCUUUCCUACACAACUUAGGUGCAAGGUGAUGAAGGCCUCCUUUGAGGGGUCCUGAGCCUUCAAUGAGACACCACUAUGGAAGAGCUAGAAUUUUAAUCUUGUCUGAAGACCUAUGGACAAGGGAUUGUCUUAGGUAAACAAUUUCUAUAGGGUUUAGGCCUCCUAAUAGGUAAUGGACAUAUACAAAGGCUUCGUUGGGCCGGAUAGAGAUUGGCUCAUCCUUCUUAAGUAGUCGACUACUUAAGUGUAGGGUGAAUUCUAUCACAAGUAGUCGACUACCUGGUAAAAGUAGUUAACUACUUGCAUUAAUCCUUCUUAAAUAGUCAAUUACUAGGUGCAACCCCUAUUCAGGUUUAAUAUUUUUUUUUUUUUUUUACUUUUGAACUUCUCUAACCACACAAAAACUUACUUGAAUCAUUUCCUACCUUCCUCUGUAUAUCAUCUUCAACCUCCAUCCACUCCUAUUCAAGCCUUUCUUACUUAAUUGGAAAAAUCUCAAAUGGCCUCAAGAGGAGGAAGAAGACGUCUAACGUGCAAGGAGAGAACUGCUCCAAGCAAUCCCAUGAUCAAAAAGGUCCAUUUUUCAUGACCAAUGAGGUAGAAAAAAAGAUAUUUUGAAUUCUUUGCAACUAGAGAAGUUCUAGAAGGCCAAUUUGUUGAUUUGGGGUACUAGAGCUUGAGGGUUUCAAUAUUGAAACUCCAUUAAAAAAU